rnacentral:tRNA from 2 species
CGGGGAGUGGCGCAGCUUGGUAGCGCGCUUCGUUCGGGACGAAGAGGCCCCGGGUUCAAAUCCCGGCUCCCCGACCA